GGACUGGGCUCAGUGGCAGAGCAUCUAUCUGCUUUGCAUGUACAAGGUCACAGGUUCAAUCACUGGCAUCUCCAGUCCA
rnacentral:tRNA from 1 species